rnacentral:rRNA from 1 species
UGUAGUCUCGCACAGAUGCAUAUCAAUAAGCGGAGGAAAAGAAACUAACAAGGAUUCCCCUAGUAACGGCGAGUGAAGCGGGAAGAGCUCAAAUUUGAAAUCUUAAAGGGUUUCCCUUUACGAAUUGUAGUUUAAAGAAGUGUUUUCUGUUGAGGUUUUGGUAAAAGUUCUUUGGAAUAGGACAUCAUAGAGGGUGAGAAUCCCGUAUUUGACCUUUACUUUCAACUUUGUGAUACACUUUCAAAGAGUCGGAUUGUUUGGGAAUGCAGUCCAAAAUGGGUGGUAAAUUUCAUCUAAAGCUAAAUAUUGGCGAGAGACCGAUAGCGAACAAGUACCGUGAGGGAAAGAUGAAAAGAACUUUGAAAAGAGAGUUAAACAGUACGUGAAAUUGUCAAAAGGGAAGCGUUUGACACCAGUGUUGUUUUUCUGAAAAUCAAUUAAAGAACUGUUUAUGCUAAGUUGUUUAGACUUUAUCAGCUAACUGUUUAGUUUUGAGCUUUUCUUUAAUGCACUUUUCAGUUAACAAGUCAACAUCAAUUUCUUUUGCUGUAAAAAAGCUUGAGGAAGGUGGCUUGAGAUUCGUCUUAAGUGUUUAUAGCCUCUUGCCUAUGCAGUCGGAGAGAUUGAGGUCUGCAGCGUAGAUCCUUCGGGGCUAAAUGCAUUUGUGCUAAGUUAUAGCAUUUUAUAGACAACUUGUUGACUAUGAUUUGUCUUGUAGCUUACUCGCUUAUGUUAUUUUACCUACGCUUAGGAUGUUGAGUAGCGACAUACGCAC